rnacentral:rRNA from 1 species
UACGGAGGGUGCAAGCGUUAUCCGGAUUUACUGGGUUUAAAGGGUGCGUAGGUGGGUAGAUAAGUCAGCGGUGAAAUCUCCAGGCUUAACUUGGAAACUGCCAUUGAUACUAUCUGUCUUGAAUAUCCUGGAGGUGAGCGGAAUAUGUCAUGUAGCGGUGAAAUGCUUAGAUAUGACAUAGAACACCCAUUGCGAAGGCAGCUCACUACGGGAUUAUUGACACUGAGGCACGAAAGCGUGGGGAUCAAACAGG